rnacentral:lncRNA from 1 species
GAGCCUACUACGGCCCUCCGGUCCCUCCGACGCAGUCCUACCACAGCGUGGGCAGCCGCUCCAGCUGCGGCCCCUGCUGCCUCCUCAGCACCCUCUUCAAGUUCAUCAUCUCCAUCGUCAUCAUCGUCGGCAUCAUCGUUCUCGUCGUCUGGCUCGUCUUCCGCCCCCACGAGGUCAAGGUCUACGUCGGCACCGCCUCGCUCACGCAGUUCGCCUUCUCCAGCAACAACAACAGUCUGCAGUACAACCUCAACCUGGACAUGAGCAUCCGCAACCCGAACAAGCGGAUCAGCAUCUACUACGACUACGUGGAGGCCCGAGCGCUGUACGACGGAUCGAGGUUCGACUACGACGUCCUCCCCACCUUCUACCAGGGCCACAAGAACACCACCAUGCUGUACCCGGCGUUCCAGGGCACGAACCUCUUGCUCGGCGACUCCGUCGCCACGACCUACAACAGAGAGAAGCAGGAAGGCUACUACUACGUCGACGUGAAGCUUUACACCAGGCUGAGGCUGAAGGUUUGGAUCUUUAAGAUCCAUUACAACAAGCAAAAGAUCGACUGCAGCUUGAAGCUUCCGGUGCCCGGGAGCUCGG